AGUGAACGCUGGCGGUAGGCCUAACACAUGCAAGUCGAACGGCAGCACAGUAAGAGCUUGCUCUUACGGGUGGCGAGUGGCGGACGGGUGAGGAAUACAUCGGAAUCUACUUUUUCGUGGGGGAUAACGUAGGGAAACUUACGCUAAUACCGCAUACGACCUACGGGUGAAAGUAGGGGAUCUUCGGACCUUGCGCGAUUGAAUGAGCCGAUGUCGGAUUAGCUAGUUGGCGGGGUAAAGGCCCACCAAGGCGACGAUCCGUAGCUGGUCUGAGAGGAUGAUCAGCCACACUGGAACUGAGACACGGUCCAGACUCCUACGGGAGGCAGCAGUGGGGAAUAUUGGACAAUGGGCGCAAGCCUGAUCCAGCCAUACCGCGUGGGUGAAGAAGGCCUUCGGGUUGUAAAGCCCUUUUGUUGGGAAAGAAAAGCAGCAGGUUAAUACCCUGCUGUUCUGACGGUACCCAGAGAAUAAGCACCGGCUAACUUCGUG
rnacentral:rRNA from 1 species